AUUGUAGUCUGCAACUCGACUACAUGAAGCUGGAAUCGCUAGUAAUCGCGAAUCAGAAUGUCGCGGUGAAUACGUUCCCGGGUCUUGUACACACCGCCCGUCACACCAUGGGAGUCAGUAACGCCCGAAGCCGGUGACCUAACCGAAAGGGAGGAGCCGUCGAAGGUGGGACCGAUAACUGGGGUGAAGUCGUAACAAGGUAGC
rnacentral:rRNA from 1 species